rnacentral:tRNA from 1 species
CGGGGUGUAGCUCAGUUUGGCAGAGUGCCUGCUUUGGGAGCAGGAAGUCGGAGGUUCGAAUCCUCUCGCCCCGA